GUGGGGCUGGGGGGUCUCCACCGGCUCCCCCCGGCCUGGGGAAUUUGGGGGCAGCUCUGGGGGUCUCCACCGGCUCCCCCCAGCCUGGGGAAUUUGGGGGCAGCUCUGGGGGUCUCCCCUGGCUCCCCCCACCCUGGGGAAUUUGGGGGCGGCUCUGGGGGUCUCCCCUGGCUCCCCCCAACCUGGGGAAUUUGGGGGCAGCUCUGGGGGUCUCUGACAGCUCCCCCUGACCUGGGGAAUUUGGGGGCGGCUCUGGGGGUCUCCCCUGGCUCCCCCCAACCUGGGGAAUUUGGGGGCGGCUCUGGGGGAUCUCUGACAGCUCCCCCCACCCUGGGGAAUUUGGGGGCAGCUCUGGGGGUCUCUGACAGCUCCCCCCACCCUGGGGAAUUUGGGGGCGGCUCUGGGGGUCUCCACCGGCUCCCCCCAGCCUGGGGAAUUUGGGGGCGGCUCUGGGGGGUCUCUGACAGCUCCCCCCACCCUGGGGAAUUUGGGGGCAGCUCUGGGGGUCUCCACCGGCUCCCCCCAGCCUGGGGAAUUUGGGGGCGGCUCUGGGGGUCUCCACCGGCUCCCCCCAACCUGGGGAAUUUGGGGGCGGCUCUGGGGGGUCUCUGACGGCCCCGCCGCCCCCAGACCCUUUUCUCAGCCUUCACCAUCACCUCUCUGCGGGAGAUGGCCCUGGGGGGCGACAUCCCCCUGCACAGCGUGUCCCGCCUGCUCUGGAACACACCCACAGGGACCCCCAAAGCGCGGGGGGCGCCCCGGCUGGACCCGCGGCGCGUGCGGCUGGAGCCGAUGGAGAUCCGCACCUUCCUGGCCUCGGUGCGGUACGGGGGUCCCCGGGGGGGCUCGGGGGGUCCCCAGGGGGGUCCCCAGGGGGUCUGGGGGCUUCCCGAGCCCACCCCCCACCCCCCAGUGAAAGUUCAUUAAAGCCCCCCGAGGUUUCCGCUGA